rnacentral:rRNA from 1 species
UACGUAGGGCGCAAGCGUUGUCCGGAAUUAUUGGGCGUAAAGAGCUCGUAGGCGGCCUGUUACGUCUGCUGUGAAAGCCCGGGGCUCAACUCCGGGUCUGCAGUGGAUACGGGCAGGCUAGAGUCCGGCAGGGGAGACUGGAACUCCUGGUGUAGCGGUGAAAUGCGCAGAUAUCAGGAAGAACACCGGUGGCGAAGGCGGGUCUCUGGGCCACUACUGACGCUGAGGAGCGAAAGCGUGGGGAGCGAACAGG